UUUGCAUUAGAAUUCACGACUAUGCCGCAUUGUAUUGUUGUGAUAGAUGAUACUGGAUGGACAUUAGGAUGAUUCAUUAGCCUUCUAUAUACGAAGACCUGUGGUGCCCAUAAUAGGGCCGGGCAAUACGAAGACCUGUGGUGCCCAUAAUAGGGCCGGGCAAUAACUCCGAGUACGAAGUCCUGUGGUGCCCAUAAUAGGGCCGGGCAAUACGAAGUCCUGUGGUGCCCAUAAUAGGGCCGGGCAUGGAGUUGAGGGAUUUUUGAAUCAGUCCAUCCGUGGUGUGAUUUGUUUGUGCAGUGACGCAUUUCAUGAUAGCAUGUUUUAAAUAUUCUCUUU
rnacentral:lncRNA from 1 species